AUUGAACGCUGGCGGCAGGCCUAACACAUGCAAGUCGAGCGGUAGCACAGAGAGCUUGCUCUCGGGUGACGAGCGGCGGACGGGUGAGUAAUGUCUGGGAAACUGCCUGAUGGAGGGGGAUAACUACUGGAAACGGUAGCUAAUACCGCAUAACGUCGCAAGACCAAAGUGGGGGACCUUCGGGCCUCAUGCCAUCAGAUGUGCCCAGAUGGGAUUAGCUAGUAGGUGGGGUAAUGGCUCACCUAGGCGACGAUCCCUAGCUGGUCUGAGAGGAUGACCAGCCACACUGGAACUGAGACACGGUCCAGACUCCUACGGGAGGCAGCAGUGGGGAAUAUUGCACAAUGGGCGCAAGCCUGAUGCAGCCAUGCCGCGUGUGUGAAGAAGGCCUUCGGGUUGUAAAGCACUUUCAGCGGGGAGGAAGGCGAUAAGGUUAAUAACCUUGUCGAUUGACGUUACCCGCAGAAGAAGCACCGGCUAACUCCGUGCCAGCAGCCGCGGUAAUACGGAGGGUGCAAGCGUUAAUCGGAAUUACUGGGCGUAAAGCGCACGCAGGCGGUCUGUCAAGUCGGAUGUGAAAUCCCCGGGCUCAACCUGGGAACUGCAUUCGAAACUGGCAGGCUAGAGUCUUGUAGAGGGGGGUAGAAUUCCAGGUGUAGCGGUGAAAUGCGUAGAGAUCUGGAGGAAUACCGGUGGCGAAGGCGGCCCCCUGGACAAAGACUGACGCUCAGGUGCGAAAGCGUGGGGAGCAAACAGGAUUAGAUACCCUGGUAGUCCACGCCGUAAACGAUGUCGAUUUGGAGGUUGUGCCCUUGAGGCGUGGCUUCCGGAGCUAACGCGUUAAAUCGACCGCCUGGGGAGUACGGCCGCAAGGUUAAAACUCAAAUGAAUUGACGGGGGCCCGCACAAGCGGUGGAGCAUGUGGUUUAAUUCGAUGCAACGCGAAGAACCUUACCUGGUCUUGACAUCCACAGAACUUUCCGGAGAUGGAUUGGUGCCUUCGGGAACUGUGAGACAGGUGCUGCAUGGCUGUCGUCAGCUCGUGUUGUGAAAUGUUGGGUUAAGUCCCGCAACGAGCGCAACCCUUAUCCUUUGUUGCCAGCGGUUCGGCCGGGAACUCAAAGGAGACUGCCAGUGAUAAACUGGAGGAAGGUGGGGAUGACGUCAAGUCAUCAUGGCCCUUACGAGUAGGGCUACACACGUGCUACAAUGGCAUAUACAAAGAGAAGCGACCUCGCGAGAGCAAGCGGACCUCAUAAAGUAUGUCGUAGUCCGGAUUGGAGUCUGCAACUCGACUCCAUGAAGUCGGAAUCGCUAGUAAUCGUGGAUCAGAAUGCCACGGUGAAUACGUUCCCGGGCCUUGUACACACCGCCCGUCACACCAUGGGAGUGGGUUGCAAAAGAAGUAGGUAGCUUAACCUUCGGGAGGGCGCUUACCACUUUGUGAUUCAUGACUGGGGUGA
rnacentral:rRNA from 1 species